rnacentral:SRP_RNA from 2 species
CAUGGGUCCCCUCGCAACGUUAACCAGCGAACCCGGUCAGGCCCGGAAGGGAGCAGCCGCAGUUGGGGACGCGUGUGCCGGGGUGCGGCUUGUGGGG